AUGCACGCUGGCGGCGUGCCUCAUACAUGCCAGUCGAGCGAACAGAUGAGGAGCUUGCUCCUCUGACGUUAGCGGCGGACGGGUGAGUAACACGUGGAUAACCUACCUAUAAGACUGGGAUAACUUCGGGAAACCGGAGCUAAUACCGGAUAAUAUAUUGAACCGCAUGGUUCAAUAGUGAAAGACGGUUUUGCUGUCACUUAUAGAUGGAUCCGCGCCGCAUUAGCUAGUUGGUAAGGUAACGGCUUACCAAGGCAACGAUGCGUAGCCGACCUGAGAGGGUGAUCGGCCACACUGGAACUGAGACACGGUCCAGACUCCUACGGGAGGCAGCAGUAGGGAAUCUUCCGCAAUGGGCGAAAGCCUGACGGAGCAACGCCGCGUGAGUGAUGAAGGUCUUCGGAUCGUAAAACUCUGUUAUUAGGGAAGAACAAAUGUGUAAGUAACUAUGCACGUCUUGAUGGUACCUAAUCAGAAAGCCACGGCUAACUACGUG
rnacentral:rRNA from 1 species